CGCGGCCUAUCAGCUUGUUGGUGGGGUGAUGGCCUACCAAGGCGACGACGGGUAGCCGGCCUGAGAGGGCGACCGGCCACACUGGGACUGAGACACGGCCCAGACUCCUACGGGAGGCAGCAGUGGGGAAUAUUGCGCAAUGGGCGGAAGCCUGACGCAGCGACGCCGCGUGAGGGAUGACGGCCUUCGGGUUGUAAACCUCUUUCAGCUCUGACGAAGCGAGAGUGACGGUAGGAGCAGAAGAAGCACCGGCCAACUACGUGCCAGCAGCCGCGGUAAUACGUAGGGUGCAAGCGUUGUCCGGAAUUAUUGGGCGUAAAGAGCUCGUAGGCGGUCUGUCGCGUCGAAUGUGAAAACCCGGGGCUCAACCCCGGGCCUGCAUUCGAUACGGGCAGACUAGAGUUCGGUAGGGGAGUCUGGAAUUCCUGGUGUAGCGGUGAAAUGCGCAGAUAUCAGGAGGAACACCGGUGGCGAAGGCGGGACUCUGGGCCGAUACUGACGCUGAGGAGCGAAAGCGUGGGGAGCGAACAGGAUUAGAUACCCUGGUAGUCCACGCCGUAAACGUUGGGCGCUAGGUGUGGGGGUCCUUCCACGACCUCCGUGCCGCAGCUAACGCAUUAAGCGCCCCGCCUGGGGAGUACGG
rnacentral:rRNA from 1 species